rnacentral:tRNA from 1 species
CCUUCGAUAGCUCAGUUGGUAGAGCGGUGGACUGUAGAGACAUAAUCUGGAAAAAAGUAGAAAUCCAUAGGUCGCUGGUUCAAAUCCGGCUCGAAGGA